rnacentral:rRNA from 1 species
AAACUGAAGAGUUUGAUCCUGGCUCAGAUUGAACGCUGGCGGUAUGCUUAACACAUGCAAGUCGAACGGUAACGAUGGAAGCUUGCUUCCAGGCGACGAGUGGCGGACGGGUGAGUAAUGCAUGGGAAUCUGCCCAGUAGUGGGGGAAAACCCGGGGAAACUCGGGCUAAUACCGCAUACGCCCUACGGGGGAAAGGCUUCGGCCGCUAUUGGAUGAGCCCAUGUCCGAUUAGUUUGUUGGUAGGGUAAUGGCCUACCAAGACUACGAUCGGUAGCUGGUUUGAGAGAAUGACCAGCCACACUGGGACUGAGACACGGCCCAGACUCCUACGGGAGGCAGCAGUGGGGAAUAUUGGACAAUGGGCGAAAGCCUGAU